GUUUAUAUAGUUUAUAUGAUAAAACAUUACAUUUUCAUUGUAAAAAUAAAUUUUUAUAAUUUUAUAAAUU
rnacentral:tRNA from 1 species